rnacentral:rRNA from 1 species
UGAACGCUGGCGGCAUGCCUAACACAUGCAAGUCGAACGGAAACAGGACGCUGUGAUCUCUUCGGAGUGAACUUGUCGCUGUCGAGUGGCGGACGGGUGAGUAAUGCAUAGGAAUUUGCCUUGAAGUGGGGGAUAGCCCGGAGAAAUCCGGAUUAAUACCGCAUGCGCUCUACGGAGCAAAGUGGGCCUCUGAUUUAAGCUCACGCUUUGAGAUAAGCCUAUGUCGGAUUAGCUAGUUGGUAGGGUAAAAGCCUACCAAGGCGACGAUCCGUAGCUGGUUUGAGAGGAUGAUCAGCCACACUGGGACUGAGACACGGCCCAGACUCCUACGGGAGGCAGCAGUGGGGAAUAUUGGACAAUGGGCGCAAGCCUGAUCCAGCAAUGCCGCGUGUGUGAAGAAGGCCUGCGGGUUGUAAAGCACUUUUAUCGGGAAAGAAAAUCACAGGGUUAAUACCUCUGUGCCUUGACGGUACCCGAAGAAUAAGCACCGGCUAACUCA